AACGCUGGCGGCGUGCCUAAUACAUGCAAGUCGAACGGUCUUUCUAUGGAAGCUUGCUUCCACUGAGAAGAUAGUGGCGAACGGGUGAGUAGCACGUGGGUAACCUGCCCAUAAGAGGGGGAUAACAUCCGGAAACGGGUGCUAAUACCGCAUAGUUUUCUUGAUCGCAUGAUCGGGAAAGGAAAGACGGCCUUUGUGCUGUCGCUUAUGGAUGGACCCGCGGCGUAUUAGUUAGUUGGUGAGGUAACGGCUCACCAAGACGAUGAUACGUAGCCGACCUGAGAGGGUGAUCGGCCACAUUGGGACUGAGACACGGCCCAAACUCCUACGGGAGGCAGCAGUAGGGAAUCUUCCGCAAUGGACGAAAGUCUGACGGAGCAACGCCGCGUGAGUGAAGAAGGUUUUUCCGGAUCGUAAAACUCUGUUGUCAGAGAAGAACAAGUUGGAGAGUAACUGCUCCAGCCUUGACGGUAUCUGACCAGAAAGCCACGGCUAACUACGUGCCAGCAGCAGC
rnacentral:rRNA from 1 species